AGAAGCGUAUACGAUUCUUACCAUUUCAGGAAUUGUGAUGUCUAGGGGGUGCUUUCUAAAGUUUUCAUCCGACCUAAACAAAAUUAGGUUUAAUUUUUAGCUGGAAUUAUCUCCUUGAAAUUGCCCCUUUUUAUCUUUAAAAAAGGCCAUUCUUCUUCAGAUCUGAGGGUGGAGGGUUUUCUCCGAACGGGCGUCGCCAUUUUUUCUGAGGAAAACGGGCCUGUAUAUUGACUUCUGUUGAUAUUCAUCGUAGCCCCGUUCUCUGCUAUUGAUUAGUAGUUUCCAUCAAUAAAUCUGUGGAAAAUAGGGUUUUAUAGAGAGCGGCCAGUUGCUUUUUAAAGCGCAAAAGAGAAAGACAUGGUUGGUAUAGAGAGGGAUAAGAUGUAGCAGAAGGGCACCAGGCAUGGGAGGGAUGGUAAGAUUCAGUCCAUAUAAAAAUGGGAGUGUAGUCUUCCCCGAUCCUCCCAUGCCCGUAGUCCUCCCUACAUAUCCCUUUCAUUUCACCCUAUUCCAAGAAAUCUACGCUACAGGAAUUCUGAUGCAGGAGUGACUGUAGGAUCACGUAUGAUCAGCACAAAGAAAAAGAGAUAUAUAAAAUUUUGUUUUGUUUUAGUUUUUAAAUUUUUGCAGAUGGAUGACGUCGUUCGUUAAUUCCAAGAUGGACCUGCCUUUUUUGGUUCGAUGAUCAUCAAUUGGGUGGUUGAUGUGGUUCCUUAAUUCCAAGAUGGACUUUCUUAAGUUGGAUCGUCACCAAUUGGAUCGCUGAUGUGGUGCUAUUGAUUUCCACUAUAUAUCAGAUCUUAUUCACACAAGCUCAAUAAGUUUCCAAGUAGUUGAGAUUGGUGAAAGCAGACCUAAAUGAAGUAUAAUUAUGUACCAUUUGAUUAUUUUUCUCCGGCAAUUGAAGAGUUGCUUUCCUGUGUUUCUGCAUACGAGAUCUUUUAUUGGUUGCACGUUGAUUUGCUUGGAUUUGAGGGAUCAAGUAUUAAAACAGAGCAUUGUAGCAUUGUCAAUCUAAGAAAGAGGUGAGAAGUAUUAGUAUGUGUCGUGGGCCCAAGUUGUUGUAACUGGAAUUUGUUUCCGUGGGAGUCUGGGAAUUUUGUUCCAUUUUUGUUUGGAUGUAAUAAUACUGAGAUUGCCUGUUGUUCUGAGGCUGAUUAUUUGCUUUGUAUCUGAAGUUGUAAAAUUUAUUAAACUCUGUUCACUUCUCUGUUCACUUCUCUUUUUAUGAGUUUCUUAUAUUAUAGCCUUUGUUGUGUAACUGUGAUCCAUGCUGCCUGGAGUCCAUUGGAUUUAUCUGACCCACUCCAGCUAUUAUGCCAAGUGAUGUCAAAGCAUUCUGAAGUAUCUUGAAGGUGAAGAAUGGUUCACAGAGGCAGAGGAAGAUGUGUAUUUUUUUAGAGUGGAAGAGGCCGCAAGAAUGUCAGAAACAUUUAGUUAUUGGAAACUAUCAAUCCAUGGAAAACUGCCCAACGAAGAAUAGAGGCAAGAGUAAGUGAUUCAGAAGAAAAUGAAGAAAAAGAAUGAGAGAAAAGAGAACGUGAAGAAAGGGUAAUUAGGGUUAUUGCUCUCCCAAUUUAGGAUGGAUUUUCCUUAUCAUGUGGGUAAAAUAUAUACCAUCAAGGGAAGAGGUACACAAAUUAUUAGGGGAAGAGCACCAGUAGCUGUCAUAGCUAAGCAUCCACAGAUAAUCAGUUAUGCAUUUCAAAGUGUCGCUUGAUACCUAAUUAAAGAUGUUCAAGUAACGGUCAACUCAAAAUCGCUAGUAUUUGUGCACAAAUGUCCCAAUAGUGGUGCACAAAUGGGUCAAUUAUGAACAAAAAAUACAAAAAAUGAUUGGCUAUUUGUACAAAACCAAUUUAUUAACGGUUCACUAUGAUGAUUAUUGAGGGGUCAACAUGACAAUAAGAUGAGACGGUUAUUGGAGCUAUGUUAUCUAUUGAUGCUCUUCCCCUAACAUCUUUUGUGAAAGGAUAUUAUGAUUCCUAGUAAAUCCGUUUUACAAUGUUGAUGUCACAGAUGCUAGCUUCCUUAACAAUGUUUCUUGCCUUAAAUCCCGAUCCUGCAUAUCUGGUCCACAAAUUUACUGAAUUCAGUUUCAUCAAGUUGUUCAUCCAUUUUGCCUUCGUCUACUCCUUGCUUAAAACACAUUGCAAAAUGUGCACAUAACUAGUUGCUGCAAUGGUGAAAUGCUACCUGCUGGUAAAAAUGGCUGUAAAAUAUCCUUCCAUCAGAUGGUUAUUUAAAGGAUGGGUAUAUUAAUUUCAAAUAAUCUUGAAUAUCUUCCUUGCUUUGAAA